rnacentral:rRNA from 1 species
AACGAACGCUGGCGGCAGGCUUAACACAUGCAAGUCGAACGCACCGCAAGGUGAGUGGCAGACGGGUGAGUAACGCGUGGGAACGUGCCCUUCAGUUCGGAAUAACCCAGGGAAACUUGGGCUAAUACCGGAUACGUGCGAGAGCAGAAAGAUUUAUCGCUGAAGGAUCGGCCCGCGUCUGAUUAGCUAGUUGGUGGGGUAAUGGCCCACCAAGGCGACGAUCAGUAGCNGGUCUGAGAGGAUGAUCAGCCACAUUGGGACUGAGACACGGCCCAAACUCCUACGGGAGGCAGCAGGUGGGGAAUAUUGGACAAUGGGCGCAAGCCUGAUCCAGCCAUGCCGCGUGAGUGAUGAA